UACGAAGGGGGCUAGCGUUGUUCGGAAUUACUGGGCGUAAAGCGCGCGCAGGCGGUUUUGUAAGUUGGGGGUGAAAUCCCCGGGCUCAACCCGGGAAUGGCCUUCAAGACUGCAAAGCUAGAGGACGAGAGAGGUGAGUGGAAUUCCCAGUGUAGAGGUGAAAUUCGUAGAUAUUGGGAAGAACACCGGUGGCGAAGGCGGCUCACUGGCUCGUUUCUGACGCUGAGGCGCGAAAGCGUGGGGAGCAAACAGG
rnacentral:rRNA from 1 species